rnacentral:rRNA from 1 species
UACAGAGGGUGCAAGCGUUGUUCGGAAUUAUUGGGCGUAAAGGGCGCGUAGGCGGUGCCACAAGUCACCUGUGAAAUCUCCGGGCUUAACUCGGAAAGGUCAACUGAUACUGUGCGACUAGAGUGCGGAAGGGGCAACUGGAAUUCUCGGUGUAGCGGUGAAAUGCGUAGAUAUCGGGAGGAACACCCGUGGCGAAGGCGGCCAUCUGGACCAGCACUGACGCUGAGGCACGAAAGCGUGGGGAGCAAACAGG